rnacentral:lncRNA from 1 species
GUGACAGUUGGGCUCUCAGAGUUAAAGUGACAUUUAUAGGCACUAAAAAUAGAUUGGAACUUGUCUUAGGUUCGGUACCCCAGGAAUGGAUUCUUCAGCAAACCAGCUUGCAUUCACGUGCAGACACACAUGCACAUACUUAUACUUUUUUUAGAAGAGUUUGAAACAGACUCAGAAAACAUCGAUUGGCAAAUGUAAUUCAAUUCUUGAAAAAUACAGUGAUGUCAUCCCAAUAAAUGUCAUGCAAUUCCCUAGCUUUUCUUUGCUCAUGCUGCCACCCCCUGCUUAUCUAGAACGCCCAUCUUCUCUCCUUCCCUUCCUAUUUCCUAUUCAAGAGUCUGUUUAAGUACUCCCUCUCAUCUUAAGCUUUCCUCAUCUCUCUGUUCAAAGGAGUCCUUUCACAAUCUCAUACUCUGCUUCAUGCACUUUAAGCUUUUGGACCUUGCCUCUAUCUACUUUCAUUUAGUUUUAUUAUUCUUUCAGGAAAAGACACAUUUCUUAUACAUCUUAGCAUCUCCCAUUUUAUAUAGCAUGUAGUACCUGAUGGUUUUUAUUCUGUUAACAUAUUCUGUGUUUCUUCGUGUUCCUCAGAAAAGAAGAGAGUAUUUUAUAACUUCAGUUAGAUUUCCUGGCUGAAUGAGUCCGUUUUCUGUCACUGUAACAAAUACCUAAAAUAAUCAGCUUAUAAAGACAAAAGGUUUAUUUUGGUUCACAAUGGAGGUUUCCAUCCAUGGUCAAUUGUUCCUUUUGCUUUGGAUGAGGUGGCACAUCAUGAUGGGAAUGUGUGGUCCCCAAUAAACAUCACCCUGGGGAGCAAGCUUUUACCAUAUGGACGUUUUGGGAGGCAUUUAAAAUCCAAACUGUAGCACUGGCUCAACUGAAUUUGCUAAAGGUAUUAGGAGAACAUGGUGACCAUAUAUUAAUAAAUUCUAUUACUAAAAGGAAAUCAAUUAUUGUAUCCCAAUCUGAAGGUAGUAUAUUUUUAAUUGAACGAUAGCUAUAAGGCUGAGUUCUGCCUGGAAAAAUAAUAAAAUAUCUAGCUAUAAAACAAAAUUGAACUUGUUAUUGUUCCUCAAAAAAAA